UUGAAUAUGGGUGAACAUGUGGCUGUCAGAUGAGAUAUGAACCGUGAAAUGCAGUUCAACCUAUCUAAGAAACCACGAACUUCCUUUUCUGUUCUCGGUUCAGGCAUUUCUUUGUAUUGCUUUUUCUUUUUCUUUUUUUUUUCUUUUCUUUCUUUUCUUUCUUUUUAGCAGGAUCAACCUCGAUUCCUCUUAUCCAUUCACAAUAAGCCUCAACAUUUUACCGGACAACACUCCACAAGGGCACUGAUUCGGACUCAACCUCAGUCUGAGUUGCCUC
rnacentral:lncRNA from 1 species